CAGCUCCUGUCAGCUCCCUUCUCUCUCCUCCGGUCCGGUCAGCUCCCCUGUAAUAAACAGUCUCACGGUGUGAGUGCUGCACGGGACUUGCAGUGGAGCUGACCGGACCGGAGGAGAGAGAAGGGAGCUGACAGGAGCUG